rnacentral:rRNA from 1 species
UGGUUAUCAGCCUUUUGGGUGUGAUUUUGUGGAGCGUGAGGAGUUAAACGCCUUCAUGCCUGCAUAUUCGUGCACUUUGGGUGUACUUGCCCGUGUGUGAGUUAACAUCAAUUUUGGUGGUCAUAAAAUGGCUGGAGGAAUGUAGCUUCGAUCUUGUAUUGAAGUGUUAUAGCCUUCGGUAGAUGUGACGAUCGGGAUUGAGGAUUGCAACGGAUACCCUUCGGGGCUACCUGUCUGAUCUCUGAUUGUUGCUCUGGUACCGAAAGCUUGCUUACGGUUAUCAAAGUCGAUGGUCAAUAGGUUAGAACGGGUUAAAUUCGUUAAGGAUGUUGACGUA